AGAGUUUGAUCAUGGCUCAGAUUGAACGCUGGCGGCAGGCCUAACACAUGCAAGUCGAGCGGUAGAGAGGUGCUUGCACCUCUUGAGAGCGGCGGACGGGUGAGUAAAGCCUAGGAGUCUGCCUGGUAGUGGGGGAUAACGCUCGGAAACGGACGCUAAUACCGCAUACGUCCUACGGGAGAAAGCAGGGGACCUUCGGGCCUUGCGCUAUCAGAUGAGCCUAGGUCGGAUUAGCUAGUUGGUGGGGUAAUGGCUCACCAAGGCGACGAUCCGUAGCUGGUCUGAGAGGAUGAUCAGUCACACUGGAACUGAGACACGGUCCAGACUCCUACGGGAGGCAGCAGUGGGGAAUAUUGGACAAUGGGCGAAAGCCUGAUCCAGCCAUGCCGCGUGUGUGAAGAAGGUCUUCGGAUUGUAAAGCACUUUAAGUUGGGAGGAAGGGCAGUAAAUUAAUACUUUGCUGUUUUGACGUUACCGACAGAAUAAGCACCGGCUAACUCUGUGCCAGCAGCCGCGGUAAUACAGAGGGUGCAAGCGUUAAUCGGAAUUACUGGGCGUAAAGCGCGCGUAGGUGGUUAGUUAAGUUGGAUGUGAAAUCCCCGGGCUCAACCUGGGAACUGCAUUCAAAACUGACUGACUAGAGUAU
rnacentral:rRNA from 1 species